rnacentral:rRNA from 1 species
GAUGAACGCUGGCGGCGUGCCUAAUACAUGCAAGUCGAGCGAACAGACGAGGAGCUUGCUCCUCUGACGUUAGCGGCGGACGGGUGAGUAACACGUGGAUAACCUACCUAUAAGACUGGGAUAACUUCGGGAAACCGGAGCUAAUACCGGAUAAUAUAUUGAACCGCAUGGUUCAAUAGUGAAAGACGGUUUUGCUGUCACUUAUAGAUGGAUCCGCGCCGCAUUAGCUAGUUGGUAAGGUAACGGCUUACCAAGGCAACGAUGCGUAGCCGUCCUGAGAGGGUGAUCGGCCACACUGGAACUGAGACACGGUCCAGACUCCUACGGGAGGCAGCAGUAGGGAAUCUUCCGCAAUGGGCGAAAGCCUGACGGAGCAACGCCGCGUGAGUGAUGGAGGUCUUCGGAUCGUAAAACUCUGUUAUUAGGGAAGAACAAAUGUGUAAGUAACUAUGCACGUCUUGACGGUACCUAAUCAGAAAGCCACGGCUAACUACGUGCCAGCCGCCGCAGUAA